rnacentral:rRNA from 1 species
CCUACGGGUGGCAGCAGUGGGGAAUAUUGGACAAUGGGGGCAACCCUGAUCCAGCCAUGCCGCGUGUGUGAAGAAGGCCCUCGGGUUGUAAAGCACUUUCAGUGAGGAAGAACGCCUGGUGGUUAAUACCCAUCAGGAAAGACAUCACUCACAGAAGAAGCACCGGCUAACUCCGUGCCAGCAGCCGCGGUAAUACGGAGGGUGCGAGCGUUAAUCGGAAUUACUGGGCGUAAAGCGCGCGUAGGUGGCUUGAUAAGCCGGUUGUGAAAGCCCCGGGCUCAACCUGGGAACGGCAUCCGGAACUGUCAAGCUAGAGUGCAGGAGAGGAAGGUAGAAUUCCCGGUGUAGCGGUGAAAUGCGUAGAGAUCGGGAGGAAUACCAGUGGCGAAGGCGGCCUUCUGGACUGACACUGACACUGAGGUGCGAAAGCGUGGGUAGCAAACAGGAUCAGAUACCCCAGUAGUC